GAGUUUGAUCGUGGCUCAGGAUGAACGCUAGCUACAGGCUUAACACAUGCAAGUCGAGGGGCAUCAGGAAGAAAGCUUGCUUUCUUUGCUGGCGACCGGCGCACGGGUGAGUAACACGUAUCCAACCUGCCCUUUACUCGGGGAUAGCCUUUCGAAAGAAAGAUUAAUACCCGAUAGCAUAAUGAUUCCGCAUGGUUUCAUUAUUAAAGGAUUCCGGUAAAGGAGGGACUCGCGUCCGAUUAGAUAGUUGGUGAGGUAAAGGCUCACCAAGUCGACGAUCGGUAGCCGGACUGAGAGGUUGAACGGCCACAUUGGGACUGAGACACGGCCCAGACCUCC
rnacentral:rRNA from 1 species